GAAGUCGGCCAGGCAGUCGCCGCUCGCUCAUGCGGGGGGAGGAAAGUCCGGGCUCCAAAGAGCAAAAGUGCCGGCUAACCGCCGGACGCCGUGAGGCGAUGGAAAGUGCAACAGAGAGUAGACCGCCGAUGGCCGGCGGGCCGGACUUCGCGGUCGCAAGACCGCAAAGUCUCGCUCUUUCAGUAGAGCAGGCUGGUCGGAUCAGGUAAGGGUGAAACGGUGCUCGCGGAUGCGACGUGUUCGACUUAUUUGAACGCUCGCGGAUGCGACGUGUUCGACUUGUUGAACAUGGGUAAGAGCGCACCGCGGGUGUGGCAACACAACCGGCUAGGUAAACCCCACUUGGAGCAAUACCAAAUAGGCAGGCGUUGACGCUGCUCGCCGAGCCUGCGGGUAGGUAGCUUGAGCGCCGGAGUAAUCCGGCGCCUAGAGGAAUGACUGUCGGCGGGGCAACCCGCGCACAGAACCCGGCUUACCGGCCGGCUUCACAC
rnacentral:RNase_P_RNA from 1 species